UACGUAGGCAGCAAGCGUUGUUCGGAAUUACUGGGCGUAAAGAGUGUGUAGGCGGUGCUCUAAGUUCGGUGUGAAAUCUCCCGGCUCAACUGGGAGGGUGCGCCGAAAACUGGAGUGCUGGAGCGCGGGAGAGGAAAGCGGAAUUCCUGGUGUAGCGGUGAAAUGCGUAGAUAUCUGGAGGAACACCGGUGGCGAAGGCGGCAUUCUGGACUGCAACUGACACUGAUGAACGAAAGCCAGGGGAGCAAACGGG
rnacentral:rRNA from 1 species